rnacentral:rRNA from 1 species
GAUGAACGCUGGCGGCGUGCCUAAUACAUGCAAGUCGAGCGAACAGAUGAGGAGCUUGCUCCUCUGACGUUAGCGGCGGACGGGUGAGUAACACGUGGAUAACCUACCUAUAAGACUGGGAUAACUUCGGGAAACCGGAGCUAAUACCGGAUAAUAUAUUGAACCGCAUGGUUCAAUAGUGAAAGACGGUUUUGCUGUCACUUAUAGAUGGAUCCGCGCCGCAUUAGCUAGUUGGUAAGGUAACGGCUUACCAAGGCAACGAUGCGGAGCCGACCUGAGAGGGUGAUCGGCCACACUGGAACUGAGACACGGUCCAGACUCCUACGGGAGGCAGCAGUAGGGAAUCUUCCGCAAUGGGCGAAAGCCUGACGGAGCAACGCCGCGUGAGUGAUGAAGGUCUUCGGAUCGUAAAACUCUGUUAUUAGGGAAGAACAAAUGUGUAAGUAACUAUGCACGUCUUGACGGUACCUAAUCAGAAAGCCACGGCUAACUACGUG